rnacentral:rRNA from 1 species
CGUUCGUAGUUGAAUUUGUGCUUCAUACGGGUAGUACAACUACAAUUGUGGAUUGUACAUUACCUUAUGUAUGCAAGCGUAUUACCGGUGGAGUUCUAAUAUAUAAUGGUACUUGUAUCAUUAUGUAUACCUCCUAUUUAAACCUGCUUCAGUGCUCUUCACCGAGUGCUGUUGUGGGCCGGUACAAUUACUUUGAACAAAUUAGAGUGCUUAAAGCAGGCUCCAAAUGCCUGAAUAUUUUUUGCAUGGAAUAAUGAAAUAAGAUCUCUGAUAUACUUUCAUUGGUUUUUAUAUCAAGAGGUAAUGAUUAAUAGAAGCAGUUUGGGGGCAUUAGUAUUACGACGCGAGAGGU